UACGUAGGGGCAAGCGUUGUCCGGAAUCAUUGGGCGUAAAGAGCGUGUAGGCGGCCAGAUAAGUCCGCUGUGAAAUCUCGAGGCUCAACUUCGAGCUGUCGGUGGAAACUAUCUGGCUAGAGUCCGGAAGAGGAGAAUGGAAUUCCUGGUGUAGCGGUGAAAUGCGCAGAUAUCAGGAAGAACACCCGUGGCGAAGGCGGUUCUCUGGGACGGUACUGACGCUGAGACGCGAAAGCGUGGGGAGCGAACAGG
rnacentral:rRNA from 1 species